AUUGAACGCUGGCGGCAGGCCUAACACAUGCAAGUCGAGCGGAUGAAGGGAGCUUGCUCCUGGAUUCAGCGGCGGACGGGUGAGUAAUGCCUAGGAAUCCGCCUGGUAGUGGGGGAUAACGUCCGGAAACGGGCGCUAAUACCGCAUACGUCCUGAGGGAGAAAGUGGGGGAUCUUCGGACCUCACGCUAUCAGAUGAGCCUAGGUCGGAUUAGCUAGUUGGUGGGGUAAAGGCCUACCAAGGCGACGAUCCGUAACUGGUCUGAGAGGAUGAUCAGUCACACUGGAACUGAGACACGGCCCAGACUCCUACGGGAGGCAGCAGUGGGGAAUAUUGGACAAUGGGCGAAAGCCUGAUCCAGCCAUGCCGCGUGUGUGAAGAAGGUCUUCGGAUUAUAAAGCACUUUAAGUUGGGAGGAAGGGCAGUAAGUUAAUACCUUGCUGUUUUGACGUUACCAACAGAAUAAGCACCGGCUAACUUCGUG
rnacentral:rRNA from 1 species